rnacentral:rRNA from 1 species
GCUCCAAUAGCGUAUAUUAAAGUUGUUGCAGUUAAAAAGCUCGUAGUUGGAUUUCUGGUGGGGCUGUCGGCCUGGCUCCGAAAGGGGUCGUGGUUAGUACACGCCUGGCCAUCCUCGGGGGAAGCUUUGCUGGCAUUAAGUUGUCGGCGGAGUGACGCUCGUCGUUUACUGUGAACAAUUAGAGUGUUCAAAGCAGGCUU